AGAGUGGCGGACGGGUGAGUAACGCGUGGGAAUCUACCUAGUAGUGGAGGAUAACUCGGGGAAACUCGAGCUAAUACUGCAUACGCCCUACGGGGGAAAGCGGGGGAUCUUCGGACCUCGCGCUAUUGGAUGAGCCCGCGUUAGAUUAGCUUGUUGGUGAGGUAAUGGCUCACCAAGGCGACGAUCCGUAACUGGUCUGAGAGGAUGAUCAGUCACACUGGAACUGAGACACGGUCCAGACUCCUACGGGAGGCAGCAGUGGGGAAUAUUGGACAAUGGGCGAAAGCCUGAUCCAGCAAUGCCGCGUGAGUGAUGAAGGCCUUAGGGUCGUAAAGCUCUUUCGCCAGAGAUGAUAAUGACAGUAUCUGGUAAAGAAACCCCGGCUAACUCCGUGCCAGCAGCCGCGGUAAUACGGAG
rnacentral:rRNA from 1 species